ensembl:lncRNA HMGA1P4 high mobility group AT-hook 1 pseudogene 4
AGGCUGAAGGGGAGGAGGAGGAAGCUGGAAGCCAAGAUGAGGAGGUGGCAGAGAUUCAGGCCAGAGUUGUGGGCCGCCGUCGGCAGCAAGAACAGAGAGAGAGGUGGACAGAUCUGAGAGAUACUGAGUCCCUGCACUAGGUCAGACAAUCCCCUUUGGGGUACAGGAAACAAAGCAGGAGGAGUUUGAGGUCCCUACACUGCAGCAGAAGAAGAGGAAGGAGUGGGGCCUGAAUUGACCAUAAAGGAUGUAGGGGCCACGUUGUUCCACUGUAAUGUCAAGGAGGGGGUGGCCAUUGUUUGUCCCAGCCUGGGGCUCCCCCUCUGGUUUCCUAUUUGUAGUUACUAGAAUGAAAAAAAAACAUGAUAGAUAAAUAAAUAAUCCACUGGCAGAGAUCAGA